rnacentral:rRNA from 1 species
GACGAACGCUGGCGGCGUGCUUAACACAUGCAAGUCGAACGGAAAGGCCCUGCUUUUGUGGGGUGCUCGAGUGGCGAACGGGUGAGUAACACGUGAGUAACCUGCCCUUGACUUUGGGAUAACUUCAGGAAACUGGGGCUAAUACCGGAUAGGAGCUCCUGCUGCAUGGUGGGGGUUGGAAAGUUUCGGCGGUUGGGGAUGGACUCGCGGCUUAUCAGCUUGUUGGUGGGGUAGUGGCUUACCAAGGCUUUGACGGGUAGCCGACCUGAGAGGGUGACCGGCCACAUGGGGACUGAGAUACGGCCCAGACUCCUACGGGAGGCAGCAGUGGGGAAUAUUGCACAAUGGGCGGAAGCCUGAUGCAGCAACGCCGCGUGCGGGAUGACGGCCUUCGGGUUGUAAACCGCUUUCGCCUGUGACGAAGCGUGAGUGACGGUAAUGGGUAAAGAAGCACCGGCUAACUACG